rnacentral:tRNA from 1 species
GCGGGUGUAGCUCAAUGGUAGAGCAAAAGCCUUCCAAGCUUAUGACGAGGGUUCGAUUCCCUUCACCCGCUCCA